rnacentral:rRNA from 1 species
UACGUAGGUGGCGAGCGUUGUCCGGAUUUACUGGGCGUAAAGGGAGCGUAGGCGGACUUUUAAGUGAGAUGUGAAAUACCCGGGCUCAACUUGGGUGCUGCAUUUCAAACUGGAAGUCUAGAGUGCAGGAGAGGAGAAUGGAAUUCCUAGUGUAGCGGUGAAAUGCGUAGAGAUUAGGAAGAACACCAGUGGCGAAGGCGAUUCCCUGGACUGUAACUGACGCUGAGGCUCGAAAGCGUGGGGGGCAAACAGGAUUAGAUACCCUGGUAGU